GAUGAACGCUAGCGGCAGGCUUAAUACAUGCAAGUCGUGGGGCAGCAGGGGUGUAGCAAUACAUCUGCUGGCGACCGGCAAACGGGUGCGUAACACGUACGCAACCUUCCCGUUACUGUGGCAUAGCCCAGGGAAACUUGGAUUAAUACCACCUAUUAUAUAGAGAGGGCAGCCUUUUUAUAUCAAAGCUUCGGCGGUAACUGAUGGGCGUGCGGUUGAUUAGGUAGUUGGCGGGGGCACGGCCUACCAAGCCUACGAUCAAUAGCUGAUGUGAGAGCAUGAUCAGCCACACGGGCAAUGAGACACGGGCCCGACUCCUACGGGAGGCAGCAGUAAGGAAUAUUGGGCAAUGGACGAAAGUCUGACCCAACCAUGCCGCGUGAAGGAUUAAGGUCCUCUGGAUUGUAAACUUCUUUUCUCUGGGGCGAAAACCAGCUAUUCUUAGCUAUUUGACAGUACCAGAGGAAUAAGCACCGGCUAACUCCGUGCCAGCAGCCGCAGUAACAC
rnacentral:rRNA from 1 species